ACCGGUUCAGCCGGUUGGGAUGACGCCAGGGACCCGAAUUUACACCCAGUUUUGUACAAAUUCCAAACUGAUGGAACUGGUUCCAAGUUCACCGUGCUGAACCCAUCCAACAUCCCCCGCAUGUACCACUCUUCCUUCGCUGUCCUUCCCGAUGCAAAAAUCCUCAUUGCUGGAAGCAACACAAACCCAGGUUACCUUGAUGACGCAUUGUUCCCCACCGAAGUUCGGGUUGAGAAGUUCUCGCCACAUUACUUGGACCCGAACUUGGGUAUGUUCCAACAAGAGAUCAUUGUUGAAAAUUCCAAUAACCAGGUGAAAUACGGUCAGAAAUUUACAGUGCAAAUCCGUGGAAAUGUCGAAAUUGACCAACAAAAGCUUCAAGUGACGAUUUACUCACCGCCAUUUGUGACGCACGGGGUUGCUAUGAAUCAAAGAUUGAUUCAAUUGGGAAUUGUGGAAUUUAACAAAAAUGUUGCCAUAAAUACAAACAACAUUGUUCUUCAAGCUCCCAUUAAUAGCAACAUUGCACCACCUGGUUAUUACAUGCUCUUUGUGAACUACAAUGGAAUACCUUGCCGUCGAUCAAUGUGGGUUCGAAUUUUACCUUAGAUCUUUCACAACAAGCAUUGAAUUGUCAGAGCCACUAUAUGUAAUACGAAUCAUUGUUCACGUUUUGUUUCACAAGUUGUUAUUUGAAGAUCUUAUAUAAAAUGUGGAUAAUUAGAUUUAUUUUAAUCUCUCUUUAUAAUUUCUUAGUUUUAUAAUAUUUUAUAAUAGAUAUUUGGUUUAAUUUUGUGAAAUUAAUAUAUCAUAAAUCAUUUUUCGAGGUUAAAUGAUGGUUCGAGGAAAAAUUUUAAAUAAAAUAUAAUUAUACAAAUAUAUUAAUAUUAAUAUUAAUAUUAACAUUAAUAUUAUUUUUUAUAUUGUUAGUAUUUAUAGAUAGUAAAACGAGUAAAAUCAAGUUAGUAAAAUAUAAGUUCGAGCCUAACCCAAAGCAAGUCGAGCCAAUUGUGCUGAUUAGCCAUGAACAACUCUACCAAUCAAUGGUAAACAUAAGAGGUGUAAAAAUCAGGUCAGGGUGAGACCGUCUUGUUACGUACCCUAAAUUUAGAGACCAAUAUAAAAAUUACGUAAUAGUUUAAGAACAUUUGAUACAAUUAACACUACAUAGUUGAACCUUUAUUCUACAUUUUUUAUCCAUGAAAUGAUAUAACAAACUUCACGAUAAUAGAUUAAACUUGUCCAUGAGCUAAGUCGAGGCUCAAAUUACAAAAGAAAUUCCAAGCCCGGCUCGCCCUACCCAUAAACUUAUUUUACUAUUUAAACAAUAACAAAAUAUAUAAUUUUAUAUUAAUACCAAUUUUUGCACGAACUGAUUUUGUAUUAAUUUAAACUAUUUAUAUUUUUUUUGCUAAAAAAUUAGUAUAAAAUUAAACGAGAAAGAUAGUAAAGUAGGAUAUAACAAGUUUAAAUAUUUAAAAUUUUUAAUAUUUAAUUAUUUUUUCAAUAUUAAAAAUUAAGCAUUAAAAUUUUUAAAUAUUUUUUUAAUAUGCCGUCUAUGAUUAUUUUUAAAGAUUUUGUAAUAUGAUAUACUAGUUUUCUUACCUGUGUAAUUUACGGGCUAGUUGUAUAUAUUAAAUUUUUUUAAAAUUUUUCUAAAAAUAAGUAAAAUUGUGAAAAUAGAUUUAUAUUAUUUCAUCUAAAUAUUUUUAUUUUAAAAAAGUUUUAAAUUUUUAAACAAUAUUUUUACCUACUAUUUAUUGUAAAAACAUUGUAUUCAAAUACUAUAUAUUAUAAAAAUUUUAAAUACUAUAUGAAUAGUGUAUAAAGUUUUAAAACAAUAUUCUAAGGAGAAAAUAAUUUUUGUAAAGAAUAUUUUAAAAAAAAUAUAAUUCUAUUAUUUAAAAAUUAUAAUUUUUUGUAUUAUGUCACUAAUCAAAUUCUGUUUUUUUUUUAAUUUUAAAUUCUAUUGUUAAAUUUUAACUAAAUAUUUAGAAAAUUAAAUUAAUUAGAACUACCCAAAAUACUCCUAUUUCUUAGGGUUUCCAAUUUUAACCUGAUAUGUUUAUGAAUGAUAUGUGAAAAUAGCAAGUUGACAUGACAUCACACAUAAUAAUAUGUUUGUAGUCUUGUAUUUUGAAAAUAAUAGAAUUUAAUUUAAUGAAUUUAACAUUUACCGUUUCAUCAUGACUAAAAUUUUAAAAUUCGGAAAGUAUAGGAAUUAAAAAUGACUAAAAUUAAAGUGUGGGGACUAAAUCCAUAACUUACACAUAGUUUAGGGACUGAUAGUAAAAUUUAACCUUUUAUUGACUAAUCUUCCUGUAAACAAUGAGAGCUAAUAAAAAAACCCAAAAUAUUUUUAUUAAGGUCAAAUUCUACUAAAUACUCUGCCGGUAUGAAAAAUUUCUAAUGUUAGUUGCGUUCUUGAUUCUCCAAUGGAUUGCCCCACAAUAAUACCUACAACUUCUCCCAAUUCAACUAGGUCACCUUGAGUGGGGCUUUGACCAUAACAUAAUCUAAUAUGUGAAUAUAACAAGUUGAUAUGACAUUAAACAUAAUAAUAUGUUAGUAGUAUCAUAUUUUGAAAAUAAUAGAAUUGAACUUAAUGAAUUUAACAUUUUUUGUUUGAUCAUGAUUAAAAUUUUAAAAUUCACAAAGUAUAUGACGUACUAAAAUUAAAGUGUGAGGACUAAAUCUAUAAUUUAAACAUAGUAUAGGGACUGAUAACAAAAUUGAACCUUUUAUUAACUAAUCUUCCUCUAAACAAGGAAUGCUAUUAAAAAACCUAAAAUAUUUUUAUUAAGGUCAGAUUCUACUAUUUGUUCAUUAAAUCCAUUAACUAACUUCUUUAUGAGUGAAAUAUCAAGUUAAUAUAGCAAUACAAAUAUGAUAUAAUAUUUUGGAAAUAAAAAAAAUUAACUAAAUGAAUUUAAUAGUUACAGUUUAGUCAAGAUUAAAAUUUUAAAAAUGAAAAAGUUCAAGGACUAAAAAUGAUCAAAUUAAAGUACAAGAGCUAAAUUCAUAAUUUACACAUAAUAUAGGGACUAAUACCAAAAUUUAACCUUUUUAUUAACUAAACUUCCUCUAAACAAGGAACAAUAAAGGGACUAACAGCAAAAUAUUUAACAUUUUACUAACUAAUCUUCCUCUAAACAAGGAGCAAUCACUAAUUUUCCCUAAAUUUCAUGCACUUCGAAUCGUGAAAAUGCAUAUAAAAGGAGAUGGAACCCAUUGUGAAAAAACCAAGCAGUAGAUCCAUAGAAUAAAAAAAAGUUAAUUUAUAAAUUAUAUAGUAACAUAAUAAAUAAUGACGUCGUUGUUUUGGAGAGGUCUUAUUAUAUUACCUCUUCUUUUUGUAUAUGUCAACGGCGAGCAUUUUUUGUACCCUAAACGUCAUACUGGCAAAGCCGAGUUAGCCGGUUACAAGGGGCCAGACUCUCUUGCCGUCGACGGUGGUGGUUUCUAUAGCGGUCCCUUGAUUGCCGAUGACGAUGGAUCUACUGCUGACGGCAAUCCUGGUGGAACUACUGAGGUGAAGGUUGAAAACCUUGGAAAGGCCGACGAUGAUAAUACUAAUGGCAGUGCAAAUAGUGUCGAAUCGACUCAAGUUGCUGCCAAAAAUGGAAUUGGCAACGGAAAUAUUUUUGAGGCUAAAACUACGUUUAAAGGGAGUUGGGAAUUGUUUGUUGAGAACGCCGGUGUUUCCGCCAUGCAUUUGAUAUUGCUUCCUAAGAUCAACCAGGCUUUGAUGUUCGAUGCCACAGUGUGGAAAAUCUCAAAGAUGAAAUUACCAGGACCGCCGUGCCGACGCGUCGAGGGAACCAAUAAAGAAGAUUGCUAUGUUCAUUCGAUUCUCAUGGACGUUGAAACAGGAAAGAUUAGGCCACUUAGGGUACGUUUUUCUAAUUUUGUUUUGUUUAGUUAUUAUUAGCUGGACGGAGCCUCAAAGAGGUAAAAAAUACAAUUUUUUAUUUGCAAAACUUGAAAAUAAUUUGCUUUAAAAAGACAUCAAACUCGUUACAAUUUCUUACAAUUUUAUGUUUAUUUAACAUUUUCAUUUUCUUUGUUACAGUUGAACUAUGACACUUGGUGCUCAUCGGGUGCCCUUGAUAUUAAUGGCCGACUGGUAAGUACUGGCGGUUAUAACAAUGGCUCUGACACUGUGAGAAUCCUCGACUUAUGCGAUACUUGUGGCUGGGAAGAAUAUCCUGGUGCACUUGGAAAUGGAAGAUGGUAAGAACCCUAAACUUAUUACAUUUUUCAUUUUUUUAAUGAUUAAAAGCUUGAAUUUGAGUAUUUUGGGUUUCUUUUUGAAGGUAUGCGACACAAGUAACCUUAGGCGAUGGUAGAUUCAUGGUGUUCGGCGGUCGAGAUUUCCCAACAUACGAAUUUGUUCCUUCACAAGGCCAGAAAAACACCCUUAAAGAUGUGAUUGAUUUCAACUUCUUGGUGGAAACACACGAUCCCGUGGAAAACAAUUUGUACCCUUUCGUUUACCUUUCGACUGACGGCAAUGUCUUCAUCUUCGCUAACAAUCGUUCAGUUCUUUUGAACCCUAACACCCAAACAAUCAUCCACGAGUUCCCGGUGCUUCCCAAUGGUGCUCGCAAUUAUCCUGCGUCAGGAAGUGCUUGCCUCCUUCCGAUCAUGCUCAAGCCUAAUGAAGAUCGUAGAGUGAUCCCCUCCGAGGUUUUGAUAUGCGGUGGCGCAUCACAUGAUGCGUAUACCAAGGCCGAUUUGCAGCGCCCUAAGGUGUUUUUUCUAGGGAACACCGACUGUGCUCGCCUUGAUAUCACCAAAAGGAAUGGCAAAUGGAAGAUCAUAAACAUGCCGUCAGCUCGUCUGUUGGGAGAUAUGGUCGUUUUACCAACGGGAGAUGUGCUUAUUGUUAACGGUGCCAAGACCGGUUCAGCAGGUUGGGAUGAUGCUAGGGAGCCGAAUUUGAACCCUGUUUUGUACAAAUUCCAAACUGAUGGAACUGGUUCCAAGUUCACCGUGCUUAACCCAUCCAACAUCCCUCGCAUGUACCACUCCUCAUUUGCACUCCUCCCUGAUGCAAAAAUCCUCAUUGCUGGAAGCAACACGAACCCUGGUUACCUCGAUGAUGCAUUGUUUCCCACCGAAGUUCGGGUCGAGAAAUUCUCACCACAUUACUUGGACCCGAACUUGGCCAUGUUCCGACAAGAGAUCAUUGUCGAGAAGUCCAAUAACCAAGUGAAGUACGGCCAGAAAUUUACAGUACAGAUUCGUGGAAAUGGCGAAAUCGACCAACAGAAACUUCAAGUGACGGUUUACUCGCCGCCAUUUGUAACCCACGGGAUCUCCAUGAAUCAGAGAUUGAUUCAAUUAGGAAUUGUGGAAUUUAACAAAAAUGUUGCUCCAGAUACAAACAACAUUGUUCUUCAAGCUCCCAUGAAUGGCAACAUUGCGCCACCUGGUUAUUACAUGCUCUUCGUGAACUACAAUGGGGUGCCUUGCCGCCAAUCGAUGUGGGUUCAAUUUUUGCCAUAGAUAUUUCACCGGAAGCAUUGAAUCGUCGAAGCCGUUAUAUGUAAUUAUUAUAUUUUUUAUAAAUAAAAAUAUAUGAAUCACUUUGGUCACAUUUUGUUGCACACAUUAUUGGUUUGAAGAUCAUAUACAAUAUAAAAUGUGGACUAUUGGAUUAAUUUGUUUGUGAUUGCUUUUCUCGUCGUGACCUUAGUUAGAUUUUUAUGAUUUAUAUUUUGAUUUUUAUGAUUUUUAUGAAUCGCUUAAAUUUAUUUAAAAGUUUAAAUAGAACUCAUGGAAAAGGAAAUAUUACAAGAUUUGUUUGUUUUCAAUAUUAAAUAGAAAUGCAUAUUGUAAAGUUAUAUAAAAUUUAAAAUAUAUAAUUAAAAUAUUGAAAUAUUACACAAUCUAUUGAUUUUGAAGAAUAAAUAAAAUUCAUAUCAUAAACCCAUACAAAAGUUUAAAAACAUCUAAUUAAAAUAUAAAAAAAAUAGUUUUAAAACGUAAUAUAAAAUCUUAUGAGAGUUUAAAAUUUUUAAUUAAAGAUAUUAAAAUAUUUAAAAUGAGAGUGGUUUAGUAAAUUAUAUUGUAUUUUUUUAUUUUUAUUUCUUUUUGUUUAAUUAAAUCGUGCUAUCUCCUUUACAAUAUAUUAAAUUGUGUUGUCAUGCCGGCAAUAAACGUCGAGUAAUCAAGCGCAGAGAGAAUUUAAGAAAAUGUUGCCGCGAGACAAGCCAUCUAUCAUUAUGAUAGAUGCAAUGAUGUAUGCUGCAGCUUAGGCAUCCUAAUAGACCAGUAAACUUGAAACCUUGUUCCUACAUGACUUGAUCAAUUCGAUUAGGCACUCGCCAUUUAUUUUCAUUGCUCAACUCUUUGACAGCACGAAAAAUCCUUUGUUCAACUCUUGGACAACAUGAAAAAAAUCAAAAGCUCUACCUUCUCUCUCUAUCUAUCCAUGGGAUGGAAGGGUGGAGGCCUUUGGUGUCCCCUCCAAUCAAGAAUCGGAGCCUCAUAAUCACUAGCUAAUAUGCUUUUCCUUUUCUCGCAUGUCUUUUUUCAUUUAUGGUUUGAUAUUCUAGUGUCCUAGGAGUACAAAAACAACACCAAUCCAUCCCGAACUUAGUGGCAAUGGCGAAGUAAAAAAAAAAAUUUGCGGGAGCCGGAAUUAAAUUAUAUAUUUUUCUCACAGUAAAAUUUAUAAGUCUAUAUCUUUAUAAUUUUUAAAAGGAUUAAAUCAAUUUUUUUAAUUUUGAAGGGUUAAAGUGCAAUUUUUACCAUUACUAAUUUAAAAUUUUAUAAAUUAUAAAGAGCCUAAAUAAAAAAUUUUUCCAUUUUAGGUGGGUCGGGGCCCCUACCAGCCCCCUUGACUCCGCCACUACUUGGUGGUUAAACUUUAUUGCGAUAACAAUAUUGUAGGGAGGUCCUGCAGAGAAAUAGCUCAAUGUCAAUUGUAUAAAAUUAUAAAUUUAGUCCAUAUUCUCCAAUUGGAUCACUUUUUUUAAUCUCUAUACUUUUCAAAUUCUAAAAUUUAAAUUUUGACGCAAACGACAAUCAUUAAAUCCAUUAACUUUUUUAGAGUAAUACAUAAAAAUAGCAAGUUGACAUGGUAUUACACAUAUGAUAUUAUAUUUUAAAAAUAACAUAAUUUAACUAAAUAAAUUUAACAGUUACCGUUUAGUCAAGACUAAAAUUUUAAAAAUUGAAAAGUAUAGGGACAAAAAAAUCAAAUUAAAGUUUAAUGAAUUAAUACAGGAAUAUAAUACGGGAAUUAAUAGCCAAAUUUAACAUUUUAUUAACUAAUCUUCCUCUAAACAUGGUGAGAUCACUAAUUUCUCGAGAAAUUCAUGCAUUUUGAAAUGUAAAAAUGCAUAUAAAAGGCAACGAAACCCAUUCUGAAAAAACGAAACAGAUGAUUCACAGAAUAAAAAACAAGCUAGGUUCUACAUUGUAUAUCUAAAUAAUAAAAGAUGGGUUUGUUUUGGAGAGUUCUUAUUAUAUUACCUCUCUUUUUUGCAUAUGUGAACGGUGAAUAUUUUACAUACCCUGCCCGUCAUACUGGCAAAGCCGAGUUAGCCGGUUUCAAGGGUCCAGACUCUCUUGCUACUGAUGGUGGCGGUUUCUUUAGCGGUCCAUUGGUUGUUGAAAAUGAUGCAACUGCUACUCCCAGCAACCAAGGUGGAACUACCGAGGUGACGGUUGGGAAGCCCGGAGACAAUACCCUCGAUGCGUCUGUAGGCAAUGAUGAAAUUAAAGAUGCAAGUAUGAUUGAGGCUGCAACUACAUUUAAAGGGAGUUGGGAAUUAUUCAUUGAGAAUGGCGGUGUUUCCGCAAUGCAUUUGCAAUUGCUUCCUAAGAUCAAUCAAGCUUUGAUGUUUGACGCCACAGUGUGGAAGAUCUCGAAGAUAAAAUUACCACCGCCAUGCCGACACGUCGAGGGAACCAAUGAAGAAGAUUGCUUUGCUCAUUCGGUUCUUAUGGACAUUGAAACAGGAAAGCUUAGGCCACUUAGGGUACGUUUUUUUAAUCUUAUUUUGCUUAGUUAUUACUGGGAUCUAACCUCAUUAUUUAAGAUCAAUAUUUUAAAAAAAAUUGAGUUUGAGACGAGAUGUAACAUCAAUAGUAGUUGGAUGGAGCCUCAAAGAGGGAAAAAAAAACUCUCUCAAUUUUUUAUUUGCGUCAUGAUUUCUUACAAUUUUAUGUUUUUUUUUUAACAUUUUCAUUUUCUUUGUUACAGUUGCACUAUGACACUUGGUGUUCAUCGGGUGGUCUUGAUAUCAAUGGUCGAUUGGUAAGCACUGGCGGUUUUAACAAUGGCUCCGACACUGUGAGAAUCCUCGACUUAUGCGAUACUUGUGAGUGGAAAGAAUAUCCCGGUGCACUUGCAAAUGGAAGAUGGUAAGAACCCUAAAUUUUAUUACAUUUUUUUUAUUUUUUUAAGGAUUAAAAGCUUGAAUUUGACUCUCUCUUUUUUUUUCUUUUGUUCUUUUGGUUGGGGGGUUUGAAGGUAUGCCACACAAGUAACCUUAAGUGACGGUAAAUUCAUGGUGUUCGGAGGUCGAGAUUUCCCGACAUAUGAAUUUGUUCCACCAGAAGGCAAGAAAAACACUCAUCAAGAUGUGGUUGAUUUCAAUUUCUUGGUGGAAACACACGAUCUCGUGGAGAAUAAUUUGUACCCUUUCGUUCACCUUUCGACUGACGGCAACAUCUUCAUCUUCGCUAACAAUCGUUCAGUUAUUUUGAACCCUAAGACCCACAAAAUCAUCCACGAGUUCCCGGUGCUCCCUAAUGGUGCUCGUAAUUAUCCUGCGUCAGGAAGCGCUUGCCUCCUUCCGAUCAUACUCAAGCCUAAUGAGGAUCGUCGUGUGAUCCCCGCCGAGAUUUUGAUAUGCGGUGGAGCACCGCACGAUGCGUUUGAAAAAGCUGAUUUGCAGCGUCCUAAGGUGUUUUUGCCCGGGAGCUGUGAUUGUGCUCGCCUUGAUUUCACCAAAAGGAAUAGUAAAUGGAAGAUCUUAAACAUGCCGUCAGCUCGUCUAUUGGGAGACAUGGCAGUUCUUCCAACAGGAGAUGUGCUUAUUGUUAACGGCGCAAAGACCGGUUCAGCUGGUUGGGAUGACGCCAGGGAGCCGAAUUUGAACCCUGUUUUGUACAAAUUCAAAACCGAUGGAACUGGUUCCAAGUUCACCGUGCUUAAUCCAUCCAACAUUGCUCGUAUGUACCACUCCUCGUUCGCUGUCCUCCCUGAUGCAAAAGUCCUCAUUGCCGGAAGCAACACGAACCCAGGUUACCUCGAUGACGCAUUAUUUCCCACCGAAGUUCGGGUUGAGAAGUUCUCGCCACCUUACUUGGACCCUAACUUGGCCAUGUUCCGACAAGAGAUCAUCACCGAAAAGUCCGAUAACCAAUUAAAGUAUGGCCAAAAAUUCACAGUGCAAAUCCGUGGAAAUGGUGUAAUCGACCAACAAAAGCUUCAAGUGACGAUCUACUCGCCGCCGUUUGUGACCCACGGGAUCUGCAUGAAUCAGAGAUUGAUUCAAUUGGGAAUUUUGGAAUUUAAUAAAGAUGUAGCCCCAAAUACAAACAACAUUGUUCUUCAAGCUCCCAUGAAUGGCAACAUUGCGCAACCUGGUUAUUACAUGCUCUUCGUGAACUACAAUGGGGUGCCUUGCCUUCGAUCGAUGUGGGUACAAAUUUUGCCAUAAAUAUUUCACCGGAAGCAUUUAAUCGUCGAAGACACUAUAUAUAAUUAUUUUAUUUCUAUAUAUAAAAAAAUAUAUGAAGUACUCUAUUUACAUGUUUGUUGCACCCACUAUUGUUUUGAAGAUCAUAUGAAGAAUUGAAUUUACUUAUUUGCGAAUUUUUUUCUUGUCCUCACUUUGACUACAUUUUUAUGAUCUAUAUUUUCAACUUAAAUUUAUUUAAAAUUUUAAUAUUUAAAUCUUGACUCAUGGAAAAGGAAAUAUUACAUGAUUUUUUUAUUUUCAAGAUUAAAUAGAAAUGCAUUUUUUAAAAUUAUAUAAAAAUUAAAAAUUUAUAAUUAAAAUAUUAAAUAUUUAAAUCUUGACUCAUGGAAAAAGAAAUAUUACAUGGUUUGUUUAUUUUCAAGAUUAAAUAGUAAUGCAUUUUUUAAAAUUAUAUAAAAAUUAAAAAUUUAUAAUUAAAAUAUUAAAUAUUUAAAUCUUGACUCAUGGAAAAAGAAAUAUUACAUUAUGUGUUUAUUUUCAAGAUUAAAUAGAAAUGCAUUUUUUAAAAUUAUAUAUGUACAAGCACAAUUUUUAGCCCAAAACCCAAUACAAUCCAUUAACCCUCAGCCCAAAACAAUUAAACCCAAAACCCAUUUACACCCAAACCCAAAGCCCAAUAGCCCGGGCCCAAGUUCCCUAAAAAAUAUCUGCCUAGGGUUUCAGAGACUGAAACCUUAGGCACCGCCCCUUGACUUUUGAUCCUCUGCCACCGCUGCCAACAUCACACUGCCGCCGCCUACAUCACGUCGGCCACCCUCCACUUGCGCGCGUCACAAUCUGGUCCCACCUGUCUUUUUUAUUUCUAAUACGCCCAGUUUUUUUUGUUUUCAUUUCAAUUUAGUCCCCUUUUUAGCUUUUUCAUUAUUUUAUUAUUAUCAUUAUUAUUAUUAUCAUUAUUAUUAUCUUUACUAUUAUUAUUAUAUUUAUUAAUAUUAUUGUUAUUAUUAUGUUUUUUUAUAUUCAUUUAUGAAAUUUUUAAAUAUACUUGUUUUAAUAUAUUAUUAUAUAUUUUCAUCUACAUACAUAUAUUCUUAUGUUUUGUAAUAUUUAUGUAUACCUUUCUUAAUAUAUAUAUAUAUGUACAUAUUUUAACCUUUGUAAAUAUAUAUACAUAUAUAUAUACACAUAUUUUAAUUUAUGUCCACAUAUAUACAUCUCUUUACAUUUACCGUGGUUUCAUUUUGUAUUCACUAUUUAUUUAUUUUGUUUUCAUUUAGUAUUUUGAAUGAAGGAUUUAAUCUUGUUCGUUUAUAUAUUUUAUUGUUUGUAUGUUGUUAUCGUUGUUCAUAUCAUUUUUAUACUUUUGUAUUCAUUAUGGUUUUGCCAUGUGUAACAACAAUGUAAUUUGCUUUCACAUUUUUUUACUACGACUUCGUGUUUUUAUUUCGCUCGAUAUAAUAAAAUUUGUUUUAAAAAAUGGCAUUUCGUGUUUAGAUUCGAGAAGAUCGUACCCUAACUUACUGGGUUUCGAUUUUCACAAUAAAUCUAAAUGCACGAAUAUUUUCAAACUCAAGUUUUAAACGAUCUCGAGAAUUAAGAAAAGAUCGUGUCCUAACUUACUGGGCAUGAUCCCUUUCUUAAACCCGAGAUAAUAAAAUAUCUUUUAAAUAAGUAAAUUUUAACAUUUUUCAUUCGCGUAUCGGGAAUUUGAGCCAUUGUGUCCUAACUUACUGGGUAUGAUUCUCUUUCUCGAAUCACGUGAAAUAUGCUUCUUUUCCCAAAACUUUUCAUUUUAAUACAAUGAUCGUAUUUUUAAAAUUUUCAAGUUCUCAAUUUUCGACAUCAAGACAUUAGAUAAUCAACUAGGUACCAAUUUUGGGCGCAUCGAGGGUGCUAAUCCUUUCUCGUGCGUAACCGACUCCCGAACCAAUUUUUCUGAAUUUCGUGGACCAAACUUGUUGUUUUAAUAAAAUCAAACCGUUUAUUAAAAACAAUCACUUUUCAAGGUGAUCCAAUCACACCUCAUAAAAAAGGAUUGGUGGCGACUCCAGUCUCAUUUUUCAAAACCCAAGUCGACCUCGUUUUUAUCAAAAAAAUGGUGUCAACAAUAUAAAAAUUAAAAUUUUAUAAUUAAAAUAUUAAAUAUUUAAAUCUUGACUCAUGGAAAAAGAAAUAUUACAUUAUUUGUUUAUUUUCAAGAUUAAAUAAAAAUGCAUUUUUUAAAAUUAUAUAAAAAUUAAAAUUUUAUAAUUAAAAUAUUAAAUAUUUAAAUCUUGACUCAUGAAAAAAGAAAUAUUACAUUAUUUGUUUAUUUUGAAGAUUAAAUAGAAAUGCAUUUUUUAAAAUUAUAUAAAAAUUAAAAUUUUAUAAUUAAAAUAUUAAAUAUUUAAAUCUUGACUCAUGGAAAAAGAAAUAUUACAUGAUUUGUUUAUUUUCAAGAUUAAAUAUAAAUGCAUUUUUUAAAAUUAUAUAAAAAUUAAAAUUUUAUAAUUAAACUAUUAAAUAUCUCAAUGAAAAUUUUUCCAUUUUAGGUCGGUUAGGUCCCCUGACUCCGCCACUGCUUGGUGGUUAAAUUUUAUUGCAGUAACAAUAUUGUAGGGAGGUCCUGCGGAAAAAUAGCUCGAUGCCAAUUGUAUAAAAUUGUAAAUUUAGUCCAUAAUUCUCUAAUUAGAUCACUUUUAUUAGUCUCUAUACUUUUCAAAUUCUGAAAUUUAAAUUUUGACACAAACAACAAUCAUUAAAUCAAUCAACUUUUUUAGAGUAAUGCAUAAAAAUAGCAAGUUGACAUGGCAUUACACAUAUGAUAUUAAAUUUUAAAAAUAACAUAAUUUAACUAAAUGAAUUUAACAGUUACCAUUUAGUCAAGACUAAAAUUUUAAAAAUUGAAAAGUAUAGUGGCAAAAAAUAUCAAAUUAAUGUUUAAGGACUAAAUUUACAAUUUAAAUAUAAUACAAGAAUUAAUAGCCAAAUUUAACAUUUUAUUAACUAAUCUUCCUCUAAACAUGGUGAGAUCACUAAUUCCUCGCGAAAUUCAUGCACUUUGAAACGUAAAAAUGCAUAUAAAAGGCAACGAAACCCAUUCUGAAAAAACGAAGCAGAUGAUUCACAGAAUAAAAAACAAGCUAGGUUUUACAUUGUAUAUCUAAAUAAUAAACGAUGGGUUUGUUUUGGAGAGUUCUUAUUAUAUUACCUCUCUUUUUUGCAUAUGUGAACGGUGAACAUUUUACGUACCCUUCCCGUCAUCCUGGCAAAGCCGAGUUAGCUGGUUUCAAGGGGCCGGACUCUCUUGCUACCGAUGGUGGCGGUUUCUUUAGCGGUCCCUUGGUUGUUGAUAAUGAUGCAACUGCUACUAUCGGCAACCAAGGUGGAACUACCGAGGUGACGGUUGGGAAGCCCGAAGACGAUACCCUCGUUGCGUCUCUAGACAAUGAUGGAAUUAGAUAUGCAAAUCUGAUUGAGGCUGCAACUACGUUUAAAGGAAGUUGGGAAUUGUUCCUUGAGAAUGGCGGUGUUUCUGCCAUGCAUUUGAUAUUGCUUCCUAAGAUCAAUCAAGCUUUGGUGUUUGACGCCACAGUAUGGAAGAUCUCAAAGAUAAAAUUACCUGGACCGCCAUGCCGACACGUCGAGGGAACCAAUGAAGAAGAUUGCUUUGCUCAUUCGGUUCUCAUGGACAUUGAAACAGGAAAGCUUAGGCCACUUAGGGUACGUUUUUUUAAUCUUGUUUUUCUUGGUUAUUACUGGGAUCUAACCCUAUUAUUUAAGAUCAAUAUUUUUUAAAAAUAUUUGAGUUUGAGACGAGAUGUAACAUCAAUAGUAGUUGGAUGGAGCCUCAAAGAGGGAAAAAAAAACUCUCUCAAUUUUUUAUUUGCGUCAUGAUUUCUUACAAUUUUAUGUUUGUUUUUAACUUUUUCAUUUUCUUUUACAGUUGAACUAUGACACUUGGUGUUCAUCGGGUGGUCUUGAUAUCAAUGGUCGAUUGGUAAGCACUGGUGGUUUUAACAAUGGCUCCGACACUGUGAGAAUCCUCGACUUAUGCGAUACUUGUGAUUGGAAAGAAUAUCCCGGUGCACUUGCAAAUGGAAGAUGGUAAGAACCCUAAAUUUUAUUACAUUUUUUUUUAUUUUUUUAAGGAUUAAAAGCUUGAAUUUGACUCUCUCUUUUUUUUUCUUUUUUUCUUUUGGUUGGGGGGUUUGAAGGUAUGCCACACAAGUAACCUUAAGUGACGGUAAAUUCAUGGUGUUCGGAGGUCGAGAUUUCCCGACAUAUGAAUUUGUUCCACCAGAAGGCAAGAAAAACACUCAUCAAGAUGUGGUUGAUUUCAAUUUCUUGGUGGAAACACACGAUCCCGUGGAGAAUAAUUUGUACCCUUUCGUUUACCUUUCGACUGACGGCAACAUCUUCAUCUUCGCUAACAAUCGUUCAGUUAUUUUGAACCCUAAGACCCACAAAAUCAUCCACGAGUUCCCGGUGCUCCCUAAUGGUGCUCGUAACUAUCCUGCGUCAGGAAGUGCUUGCCUCCUUCCGAUCAUACUCAAGCCUAAUGAGGAUCGUAGUGUGAUCCCCGCCGAGAUUUUGAUAUGCGGUGGAGCACCGCACAAUGCGUUUGAAAAAGCUGAUUUGCAGCGUCCUAAGGUGUUUUUGCCCGGGAGCUGUGAUUGUGCUCGCCUUGAUUUCACCAAAAGGGACAGCAAAUGGAAUAUCUUUAACAUGCCGUCAGCUCGUCUGUUGGGAGAUAUGGCAGUUCUUCCAACAGGAGAUGUGCUUAUUGUUAACGGUGCAAAAACUGGUUCAGCCGGUUGGGAUGACGCCAGGGAGCCAAAUUUGAACCCUGUUUUGUACAAAUUCCAAACUGAUGGAACUAGUCCCAAGUUCACCGUGCUUAACCCAUCCAACAUCCCUCGCAUGUACCACUCCUCGUUCGCUGUCCUCCCUGAUGCAAAAGUCCUCAUUGCCGGAAGCAACACGAACCCAGGUUACCUCGAUGAUGCAUUGUUUCCCACCGAAGUUCGGGUCGAGAAAUUCUCACCACAUUACUUGGACCCUAACUUGGCCAUGUUCCGACAAGAGAUCAUUGCUG
rnacentral:lncRNA from 1 species